AGCACACUACUAAUAGCGAAUUCGGGUGGUCAUUUCGUAGCAAAACGGCCGAGCGCUCGGAAAUUGCUAGGUCGGCGACCGAGCUGGAUCACGUGACCGUUGCCACCCGAACAUGAUUGCUAGGAAUCUAGCGGUUUUAGGUACUUGGAUCACGCUAGGGGCGUCGCGGUCGCAAGUCUUCGCGUUCUGUCGUCUGCUAAACCACGUGAUUUCAACAUGCGGGCCAAUGAGGGCACUCGCCACCGUUGCAGUGCGGAUGUGACGACACCGGAUACAGUUGAGCAAUCUGCUGCUCGAUCGUUUUGAGACCGGGCAAAAAAAGUGCUAGCUAGCAAAUUCCGAGCGCUCGGAAAGCGCCACGCGAACAUGGAAGAUUUGCUUCCUUUUGACCAAGCGAACAUGACUGCUCGAGAUCUCGCAAAAAAAGUUGCUCCGAAAUGACCACCCGAAUUCGCCAUAAGACAGGCAAUCUACGAAAGCAUUACUCACCAGAAUUCCUGCUUGACUUGGUCUUGGUCAACACUGCGCGAUAUACGUUGGGGCUGUGGCGAUUCAUUCAACUCGAUUUUUACCGGAACAACAGGCGCUGCUCGAAAGACAACGACGGAAAAUAGAGAGCCGCUAUAAAGUCCGCUAAUUUGCACAUUACAGCACUACAAAGCGAUAUAUGAACACAUCGUAAACAGCAACCACUCGCUCACACACACAAGAAACGAGGUACCCAACGCAGGGGCGCGAAGCUGUAGUAGAAAUCUAUUGUAGCUGAAAACUCACGUGACCUCCGGAGCUCGACCAAUGACUGAGGACUAGCCACCCUAUUUUGUUUUCUUUUUUGAUUAUGUCGCGAAUGACGUAAAUGACGUGUCAUCCGUUUCUCUCUUACUACUUUCCCCCUCUCUGCUCUGCUUCCCGUCUUCUUUUGUUGUUCCUUUUUUUUCUUCCGUGCACUGUUUUUUUGGUUCGCGUUUGUCGGAAUGCAGUGGCAGUUACAGGAAUACGACGGAGCCUUGGUUGUUUUUGUCACAUGCAGUAUUUUAUUGUGCGACAUACGGUUACGCAAGCAAGACGUACAGAGGAUGACAUUAAUAUUGCUCCAGAAUUUGCUUGAAGAAGCCUGACAAUGUCGGACUGCCUCUGGCAAGGACUGCUACUGGGAACUGGAGCUCAGUGACUGCAAGAUGAAAAAAAUUGGUAUCAGAUAUACGGUUAGGCAUGUGAUAGUUACAAUGUAAAUAGAAAGAACAAAGGUGCUAUUGAACGCGAAAAAUAAGAACUGUGGUAGGGUUGUGAGAAGCUCGGAGCCAUGGGGUGUGAUGAGCGACCUUAGUACAAAAAAUACGUUUUAUUGCGCUACUUCACAGUGAUAUAUUCAGACCGAUUAGCCUGACAAUCUUGGCUUUGGCGCUAGGUACAGAACAGCUACUAAGUCAACGCGUCUGACGAAACUUGUCGAGCGAAAUCACCAAGAAUCAGACUUACAGUAGCGUCAUACCUUUAUACAGUACGACGUGAACGGGUAUUUAAUCAUAACAUUUAGAUGAUAUUGUUUCACGAAAAGAAAUAUAGUCUACCAUCGUAUCUGCAAAGCUACGCUGUCUGUCUCGGUCACCGCGUAUUCCGGUAACUGUUAAGCAACUUAUUCACAAUACACGAAGUGAAUGCGGUGUUGUAAGGCAACAAGCAACGACAAAUGACUUACCUCUCGGCAGUUGUUGACCAGGUAUCGGGUACGAGGCGUUCGGGCUCUCGAACAGUUUCUACACCAAGAAGCAGAGCACAAAUGUUGCGCAGGCAUCUUCCCUGGCAGCUGUGACUGUUCGAGGACACUCACAUGAUACAGCUUGCGUUUUUAAACAGGAAUAAUCAGAACUCAUAGUCCAACACAACCGCUACACAGCACGAACCGUCCGAAACGGACGCCGGUGACUCCGUGGACACCGGUUCCGGUUCCAACCGGCACAGCCGCCGUGCUGUCGCCUAUUCGAGCGCUCGCGAACAAAUUUGAAAACGGCCAAUCAUCGCUCAGAAAACGAAUUCAUCCUCAUGGGAACCAAUCAGUAAUCACUAGCCACCGGAUGUCUCCAUGACGUUAAAUUUAUGACGUUUUCUGACGUCCGAUGACGUGAAACGCAUGAAGCGCCUCACUUUAUCCCGCAAAGGAACUGGCGAGUUUCGGGCCCUUGCCCAACGUUGCUAGACACCAUCCGAACUCCGAAGUGAGAGUAGCAAAACAACAAGAUAUCAAAACACGAAAGGAAGAGUAUUGAUCCCCCCUCCUUCUAUAGAAUGCAAAACGUGAUUUGCGCUGAGAUGAACAUAUAUGUUCAUGACGCGAGUAAUUUUCACUUUUCACUGAUCCAAAGGAGGUCACGUGGGAUUGCUCGACGCUUGCGAAAUCAACAAUGAAAAUGGCGAAACGAAACUUGUGAAUCGUGCAUUUGCUCUUCAUGGUAGCUGCCAAAAAAUCGAAUCAAACUUAUGGGACACUGGAUUACAGGUUGCUGCCACUACUCCAUGUGCCCGCAAUUGUCUUGCGUGUAUGAUUACACUAACGGCGUCGCCCACCACGGCGGAAGUGUUUUGCGUACACGCGUUUCAGCAUGAAGCCUGCAGGUGGACGUAAAUUGUAGAAGGCAGCUAGUGGGGGAGAAGAUCAUGGUCAUAGGUCAUGUGACUCCUGGAGCUCCCAGUGGGCUCCCUUGUGGAGUACUUUUCAGAACACACACACACACACACAGUUUGCUCACAGAACCAACGAGUAGGAUGUUGCUUGAAUACUGAGAGAAAAUGGCGUAACACAUACAAAUAUCGUGUGACACAUAUGACAAUAAAAACAUUUUUCACGAGGGAUGCAUGAAACACUGUCGCAAUAUUGUGUGCAUGAACCAUUGUGUGUGACACAAGCCGUGGGGGCACACCGCCUCGGACACAUUUUGGGAAGCAUAAAACACAGUAUAUACAGAGCUACUAUGGUGGAUGCUUCUUUUUUCCUUUUUGGCCGUUAUGAGACAUCUUCGGCCGUAUUGAGACUUCGGCCGUAACGAGACACUUGGGGAUUAAAGGAUUUUCGGCCGUAAUGAGACUUUCGGCUGUAAUGAGACUUCGGCCGUAAUGAGACUCGGGCCGUAAUGAGAUGUUACCGAGCAAUAACAAAAGUGCUCUCCAUGUCUUUCACAGAAAGCUGACCCCCUCCUGUGUUGAAUGGUGCCCCCCCCCCCCCACCCCCCCAUGACAAGCACAGCU